AGCGAACGCUGGCGACAGGCCUAACACAUGCAAGUCGAACGAACCCUUCGGGGUUAGUGGCGGACGGGUGAGUAACACGUGGGAACGUACCUUUAGGUUCGGAACAACACAGGGAAACUUGUGCUAAUGCCGAAUGUGCCCUUCGGGGGAAAGAUUUAUCGCCUUUAGAGCGGCCCGCGUCUGAUUAGCUUGUUGGUGAGGUAAAGGCUCACCAAGGCUUCGAUCAGUAGCUGGUCUGAGAGGAUGAUCAGCCACACUGGGACUGAGACACGGCCCAGACUCCUACGGGAGGCAGCAGUGGGGAAUCUUGCGCAAUGGGCGAAAGCCUGACGCAGCCAUGCCGCGUGAAUGAUGAAGGUCUUAGGAUUGUAAAAUUCUUUCACCGGGGAAGAUAAUGACGGUACCCGGAGAAGAAGCCCCGGCUAACUUCGUG
rnacentral:rRNA from 1 species